rnacentral:rRNA from 1 species
CCCUUAGAUGUCCUGGGCCGCACGCGCGCUACACUGAUGCAUGCAACGAGUUUAUAACCUUGGCCUGAAAGGUCUGGGUAAUCUUUUGAACGUGCAUCGUGAUAGGGAUAGAUUAUUGCAAUUGUUAAUCUUGAACGAGGAAUUCCUAGUAAACGCGAGUCAUCAGCUCGCAUUGAUUACGUCCCUGCCCUUUGUACACACCGCCCGUCGCACCUACCGAUUGAAUGGUUCGGUGAAGAUCUCGGACUUCGAUAUUUAUUCUUUAUUGAGUUUAUAUUGUGGGAAGUUAUCUAAACCUCAUCAUUUAGAGGAAGGUGGAGUCGUAACA